rnacentral:rRNA from 1 species
GACGAACGCUGGCGGCGUGCUUAACACAUGCAAGUCGAACGGAAAGGCCCUGCUUUUGUGGGGUGCUCGAGUGGCGAACGGGUGAGUAACACGUGAGUAACCUGCACUUGACUUUGGGAUAACUUCACGAAACUGGGGCUAAUACCGGAUAGGAUCUCCUGCUGCAUGGUGGGCGUUGGAAAGUUACGGCGGUUGGGGAUGGAUUCGCGGCUUAUCCGCUUGAUUGUCGGGUAGUGGCUUACCAAGGCUGUGACGGGUAGCCGGCAUGAGAGGGUGACCGGCUACAAGGCGACUGAGAGAGGGAGCAGAAGGGUACGGGAGGCAGCAGGGGGGAGCCUGGCAGAACGAGCGGAAGCGAGUGGUGGCAACGCUGGGUGCGGGAUGAUGUGUUACUAGGUGUGAACCGAUGUCGACGGAGAUGUAGAGAGAGUGACGGUAAUUAGUAAAGAAGCAACGGCUAACUACGUG